CUACGGGCCGCUGCAGUUUCGAAUAAUUCACAAUGGGCGCAAGCCUGAUGAUGCGACGUUACGUGAAGGAAGAAAGCUUUAAGUUGUAAACUUCUGUCGUUAAGGAACAAAAAAUUAAGUAGUACUUUUUAUAUUGAGUUAACUUAAAAAGGAAGCAGUGGCUAAUUUCGUGCCAGCAGCCGCGGUAAUACGGGAACUGCAAGCGUUGCUCGGUUUUAUUGGGCGUAAAGAGUACGUAGGCUGUUAUAUAUGUUAAUUGUUAAAUUUUAAAGUUAAUCUUUAAAUUUGCUGUUAAAACUAUAUAGCUAGAAUUUCAAAGAGGUAAGUGGAAUUUCAAGUGUAGCGGUGAGAUGCGUAGAUAUUUGAAGGAACACCAAUGGCGAAAGCAACUUACUGGGUGAUAAUUGACGCUAAAGUACGAAAGUAUAGGGAGCAAAAGGGAUUAGAUACCCGGGUAGUC
rnacentral:rRNA from 1 species